CAGCUGACAAUGGACAUAAAUCGGAGGGGCCGAGGGGCCAAAGAAACUAAACUAAAACAUUGUUUGCCGUGAGUAUUUUCUAAACAGCAUGUGCCUUAUAUCUUAAAUAAAUAAAUAUAAAAUAAUCUAGACGGACAUAUGUUAGAACUUUGUUUCGUUUUGUCCAUUUUCAAACUCUUCUAGGUGGCGCCCCAACAGCUCAUCGAAAUGCACGCAGCGCGAAUUCGAAUCCACAGCGAGAUUUGAGCGCGGAAAGCUGUUAUGUGCCAGUAUGCUGGGGUAGGCUUGACAACUCAAAAUUUUCUAUUUGUACUUACGAAGCAGCAGUAUUUGACAGAAAAGAAUAAUACUUUGAUGCUCUUCUCACGCCUACAAGCGAGGGCGGCGUGAUUAACAACACAGCGUAAUGCGCAACGGUGAACGCCAACGAACUGCGUGCCGCCACCAACCUGGACGAAGCAUUUUGGACUGAAGCUGUCUUGAUAUCCACAAUACAUUGGACACUACAUGCAGGAUUAUGAAUGGAUACCUGAACACUGCUUGAAGGAGCAAGCUCUACAGCAUCACUUAUGCUCCUUUCCAUGGGUUGGCAAGAGGAACCGUGGCACGCAACUCUACAGGCACCUGUGCUCUUCACUACCUUCGGAGGAGAGAUGCAUUGAAUGCUCCCUAUCAAGCACUGCCAUCUCAACAGUACCAUGGCUUUUUGUGUGGAUUCCUUCCCUUUUGAAGGCCACCACUGUUUGCACAGCAUCACAGCCUGCCUGCCUUGAUCUUGCGGAAGAAGAAAAUACAAAAUGCCUAUUUUUUGAAAUGCAUGCAUGGCUCCAUGCAACACCACCUGUCGUCGGGGUGUUAAGGCUUUUUGCAGAGAAAAUGUAAUGACGCCUUAUGUGUGCCCUGGUGGCAAAGUGUUUGCCUCUUUGCCUGUGUAAAAAUUUCACACUUAUGGAUACUGUUAAGGGUUCCUGUAUCAUAUUUUCUUUCACAUCCUAAGAAAUUUUUGUUUCAUUAUAAAACUAAAAAUUAUAGUUGAAUUGCUGCUUUGUGUGAUAUGCAAUAUUCAGCUGAAGGUGAUCAGCAGAGGUCGAACAAGUGUUAUAUCAGGUGGAGAAAUUUUUUUGAGAAGUGGACUUCUUCGUUAGGGUAACAACCGUUUUCCUUGGCAGUAUUUAUAUAGUUCACUUUUCUCCACUCCAUGGAUAUCCAGCAAAAUGAGUGAGUGCAUAGAGAAGGUGAGGUAAGUUUAAAUGCUCACCAUGGGGGUUUAGUUGGGGUAGCAAGGUGUGUAGAAGUAUGGGAGUUUGGCAGGUUGCUGGCGCCAAUUUCUAUGAGUGAUCUUGUUGUUUGUGUCUAUGUCAGUUAUAUAAUACGAGGCGUCUUCUGAGGCCACAAAUAUUGAAAAAAAACUCCUUAUAUUUGUGGAAAUUCAGUAUGUGCCCCUGGGGCUACUACGAGCACUUGGGGCCACUGGGUAGAUGCAGCUCUCCAAUGAACUUUUUUGACACAAACUUGUGUAUGUACACUGGGUGUGUGCCACUGCAUAUGUGCCACUCUUUAAUGAACCUCUUUGAUGCUGACUUAGGUCAUGGGGCAUCACAACACAAACCUAUGUAGCGACAUCUGUGUAUGCAAGUAAGUGUGAGCUGGAAUUGUCUGCUUGGAUUUUCUUUCCCUGACGACGACUAGUCCCCUUGUUGAAUUAACUUCAGCCUGAGAUAUCACCUGUUUGUCUACUGUUAUCACAUUAUGCCCAUUUUGCUGUGAACUUGUCAUGUUCUCUAGCUGGCAAGCUUGAAUUUCAGGUACUGCACGCUAAGGAAAUUGAUUCAGAGUGGGUGGUACCACCUCUGCUUUUUCUUUGCAGCUGUGUGUUACAUGAGAGAAUAAGUUGUACGUAGAUGUCUAUUAGAAAUAGCAUAGGUAUUCAAAGGUACUUUCAUUAUCUUCUAGGUCAUUGGUGCUGUCUGGCCUCCUUUGCAUCAUAUUUUGUAGCAUGCUUUUUACAUGCAAAAACAAAUGUGGCCUGUUCUAAUGCAUGCAAGGACUGCCCAAUAGCUCAUGAUGUUUUGAGCCGCUGAAUUUCAGUCUUGGCUGCACUUGUGGAUUUUCAACUGUACUGAAGCUUGCAAUAUGCUUGAAUUUCCAGUCAAACUGGUUUG